UACAGAGGGUGCAAGCGUUGUUCGGAAUUAUUGGGCGUAAAGCGCGUGUAGGCGGCUUUGCAAGUCGGGGUGUGAAAGCCCUCAGCUCAACUGAGGAAGUGCGCCCGAAACUGCAGAGCUUGAGUGCCGGGAGAGGGUGGGCGGAACUUCCCCAAAGUAGAGGGUGAAAAUUCGUAGAUAUGGGGGAGGAACACCGGUGGCGAAGGCG
rnacentral:rRNA from 1 species